UUUGACCUCGGAUCAGUAGGUCAUU
rnacentral:rRNA from 1 species